rnacentral:rRNA from 1 species
UACGUAGGGUGCGAGCGUUAAUCGGAUUUACUGGGCGUAAAGCGUGCGCAGGCGGCCCGUUAAGACAGGUGAGAAAUCCCUGGGCUCAACCUAGGAAUUGCGCUUGUGACUGGCGGGCUCGAGUACGGUAGAGGGGGGUGGAAUUCCUGGUGUAGCAGUGAAAUGCGUAGAGAUCAGGAGGAACACCGAUGGCGAAGGCAGCCCCCUGGGCCUGUACUGACGCUCAUGCACGAAAGCGUGGGGAGCAAACAGG